CCCGGGCGCGUCGCAGCCCCGGAACCAGGCGCCCGCCGGAGGGACCAACCAAACUCUUUUCUGUAGUCCCCUCGCGGACGUUAUUUCUUACAGCUCUGAGCAAAAAAUUCAAAAUGAAUCAAAACUUUCAACAACGGAUCUCUUGGUUCUGGCAUCGAUGAAGAACGCAGCGAAAUGCGAUAAGUAAUGUGAAUUGCAGAAUUCAGUGAAUCAUCGAAUCUUUGAACGCACAUUGCGCCCGCCAGUAUUCUGGCGGGCAUGCCUGUCCGAGCGUCAUUUCAACCCUCGAACCCCUCCGGGGGUCCGGCGUUGGGGAUCGGGAACCCCUCAGACGGGAUCCCGGCCCCGAAAUACAGUGGCGGUCUCGCCGCAGCCUCUCCUGCGCAGUAGUUUGCACAACUCGCACCGGGAGCGCGGCGCGUCCACGUCCGUAAAACACCCAACCUUCUGAAAUGUUGACCUCGGAUCAGGUAGGAAUACCCGCUGAACUUAAGCAUAUCAAUAAGCGGAGGAAAAGAAACCAACAGGGAUUGCCCCAGUAACGGCGAGUGAAGCGGCAACAGCUCAAAUUUGAAAUCUGGCCCCCUGGGGUCCGAGUUGUAAUUUGUAGAGGAUGCUUUUGGUGAGGUGCCGCCCGAGUUCCCUGGAACGGGACGCCACAGAGGGUGAGAGCCCCGUCUGGCUGGCCACCGAGCCUCUGUAAAGCUCCUUCGACGAGUCGAGUAGUUUGGGAAUGCUGCUCAAAAUGGGAGGUAUAUGUCUUCUAAAGCUAAAUAUUGGCCAGAGACCGAUAGCGCACAAGUAGAGUGAUCGAAAGAUGAAAAGCACCUUGAAAAGA
rnacentral:rRNA from 1 species